rnacentral:rRNA from 1 species
UACGUAGGUGGCAAGCGAUACUCGGAAUCACUAGGCGUAAAGCGCAGGUAGGCGGUUUGGUAAGUCUCUUGUGAAAGCUCCCGGCUUAACUGGGAGAGGUCAAGGGAAACUACCAGGCUAGAGUGCGGAAGAGGAAACUGGAAUUCCCGGUGUAGCGGUGAAAUGCGUAGAUAUCGGGAAGAACACCGGUGGCGAAGGCGGCGACCUGGUCCGAUACUGACGCUGAGGCGCGAAAGCGUGGGGAGCAAACAGG